ensembl:lncRNA
GGCCUGCGCCGGGGCGGGGUCUGUGCGGGGUCCCGGCCUGCGUGGGGUCCUCGCCCACCCCUCGGCCCGCACACCCCCUCGACCCGGGGCCUCACUGGCGGCCCCGGCGGGCCACUCAAGAGUCAAGCAUCGCGACCGCCUCCUGGGUGUCGACCGCCGUCCCAGGCGCAGGGACACGGCGUGGACCAGACAGGCGAGUUCUGUGCUUGCUGCUGCUGCUGCUAAGUCGCUUCAGUCAUGUCCGACUCUGUGCGACCCCAUAGACAGCCCACCAGGCUCCCCCGUCCCUGGGAUUCUCCAGGCAAGAACACUGGAGUGGGUUGCCAUUUCCUUCUCCAGUGCAUGAAAGUGAAAAGUGAAAGUGAAGUCGCACAGUCGUGUCCGACUCCUCGCGACCCCAUGGAUUGCAUGCAGCCUUCCAGGCUCCUCCGUCCAUGGGAUUUGCCAGGCAAGAGUACUGGAGUGGGUUGCCAUUGCCUUCUCCGAGCUCUGUGCUUACCUCCGUCUAAUUCUUCUCAAUCAUUCCUUGUUCAUUCGACUUACUCUUCUCUCUCCCUGACUGGAAACCCGCCGGGGCAGGGUUUGCUGCCAGCCCCAAGGCUGGCACCUGGUAGCCUCUUAACUACGUGUUUGAGGAAUAAAUGAGCUUUAACCACCACAGAUCUAUCAUUGUCAAACUUACACUACAGCCUGAAUGAACCUUGGAAACAUUAUUCUAAGUGAAAGACACAGAAGAACGGGAAUUGUAUGAGUCCAUUUAUAUGAAAUGUCCAGAACAGGCCAAUCCAUAGAGACAGAAAGGAAAUUAGUGGUUACUCAGGGCUGGGAUGUUGAGGGAAAUAGUGUGGCUGUUAAGGGAUGUUUUUGGGCAGGAGUGUGAUAAAAAAUGUUCUGAAAUUCGGUCAUAAUAAUGAUUGAACAACUCUGAAUAGAUGAAAAACCACUGAAUUGUACAGUUAAAAAGGGUGGAUUGGGAUUUCCCCAGCGGUCCAGUGGUUAGGACACGGCACUUUCAUGCCAUGGAGCAGGUUCGAUUCUUGGUUGGGGAGCUAAGAUCCCACAAGCCACAGAGCACAAACAAAAUUUAAAAAAUAAAUAAAAACUAAGGAAGUACUCAGUAUCAAAAGGGACAAGCACAAAAGGGAAAACAUUACUCACCCAAGGAGAACAGC